CCAGAGCAGAACACCCCCCAGGCAACACGUCUGAUGAAGGCCAACAGCGUCAGUCCUCUGGUGUUUGGUGACAUCAAAGCUGUGCCGAAAGGCCUUCCCUCACUGCUAACACUUGAAGGGCUUCUGUCCGGUGUGGACCCUCUGAUGGCGAAUGUGGUCUGUCUUAUGCUUAAAGAUCCACCUCCAUUAACUGCACUCUUAGGGUUUCUUCCUCUGAAAAGGAAUGAACACGGGAACCCCCUCAAAGGCAUUUUUAAAUGAAGCGUGGAAGGCAUCAAAGAUGUGCUCUUCUUCAGGACUCAGGCUUCUCCAUCAUUCUCUGUUCCUUGGAAGCGUGAGGGCUAAGGAGCUGCUGACUUCUCUCUCUUGGCCCCACUUCAAGAAAGGCUUGCUUCCCACACACCUCUCCACGCUCCCAGUGCGGGACUGACACUCUGCACCGGGAGGCCAAGGGCCACCAUCGUCUUGCUGGGAGAAGGUGUGACGUUUCUUGGUCAUAGGAGGGAGUGUGAUCUGACACCAGAGGACUUAAUAUAACAUUGCAGUG
rnacentral:lncRNA from 1 species